rnacentral:lncRNA from 1 species
CGGGGUGCUGCUCGCGCACCCAGGUCUGCAGCUCCCCUGGCAGGAUGGUCAGGAACUGCUCCAGCACCAGCAGCUCCAGGAUCUGCUCCUUGCUGUGCAUGUCUGGCCGCAGCCACUGUCUGCAGAGCUCGCGGAGCCGGCUCAGCGCCUGCCGGGGUCCGGCUGCCUCUGGGUAGCGGAAAGCACGGAAGCGCUGGCGGGAGCGGUCAGGCCCAGGACUGCCCAGCCAACUGGUCUCCUCUGCCAAGGGGGAGGCCUCUUCCUGUUCCACUUUCACCACUAGAAGCCCAGUGCCCUCUUCUGCAGACCGAGCGUUUAGGGCUGCGGACGUUCCGGGUUCUCUAG